GGUUAACCUUAGCUAAUUGUUAUUUUGAGCAGCCUCCAUAUCCAGGAAAAUUAACAGACGCCGUUCUCUCGUUUUUGGUUAAAAUCACAAUACAGUGAUAGGGAAUGCAUAGAAGGAAGUUGUGGAAAAACUUCAGGUCGCUUGUCAGUGUCAGUAAGUAGUGUAGAUGCUGUGUCAGGUGCAAAUUAAUUAAGCAACCAGUUGUACAUGUGGUUAUAACCGCAGGGUUUGUACAGAAAACUUGUCACAAAUAUUUCUGACUCGGUCAACAAAAUUUCGGCUCCUUCUCCUUCUUCCCCUCCAUGUGGAGCAGCGGACAUCCUAGUAAAACAACAGAGGAAACCGUUGGGGAUCUUCCUGUCAGGACUGCCCCAGUAGCCUCAGCAGAAAUAUGAACUUCUAUGUGAGGGGUGGGGGGUGCCAUAUGGGAGCUCAGAAAAAUGGAAGUGGAUCGUAGAUAGACAAGAGAGGAAUCUGUCAUUCUUAGGCUCGGAUGUCGGGAUCUGUGUGAUGCGAACUAAACGAGAAUGCGGUCAGCAAACCCCCCUGCGCAAGACUUUUCCAUGAAGGGAGCCCUGGUAAUUGUCUGUCUUUCUGCACAUUCAAAGGUAAGACAGAUCACAACUUGCAUUUGCAACGAACCAACAACAUCCAUAACAGUCGUUUUCUGUGUGAUCGAUUUUGUGAGCAGAGUGGAGGAUAUGGAGGAUAGUGUUUGGGUGUAUGACUGCCUUGUUUUGCUUGCACACUUGCAGUGGUAGAGUGAGUCAGUAAAAGUGUCAGACUGCCGUAACAGACGGCCUGUGCGAGAUAAUUAGCCUGGAGUCAUUUGGAAGCUGUUCAGCUCUGCCCAGGUGCCCACUGUGCACAGAAAGAGACCAGACGACCUUUUACUCAGCUUCGUCCCACUGCAGUCACUUAAAACAGUGAUGGAUGUUUCCCUUAACACCCCACUCCCCACUGCUAGGCCUCCCUCUCCUUUUCUCUCCACCCUCCCUCUCUCUCAUCUCACCCCCGUCCUCUUCUCUCCUCUGCUCCAACACCACUCUCGCCUUAUUUGUCCCUCCUCCUCUCCUUCUUGUUUUUCUACCAUCCUUCCCCUUUCACUGCCCCCGAUUCUCUCUGUUCUACCAGACUGAUGAGGAGGAAGAGGAAGAAGAAAGGUGUUUGGUGGCGGGGGAUUGGGGUGUGUGUGGGGAUGUGGGUGCAGGGGGUGGGGUGGAGGGUGAAGUGGAGCCGUUUCCUGCUAGCGCAGAGAUGAGUGAAGCUCCCCCUCCCCUCAGCUCCUCAUUAGUAUGCAGGGACUGUUGCUCAGGUGACAUGGCCGCUGGAUUCUGUCCCGACUGCAGGAACAUCAGCAGCAUGGCGGAGAUCAGGAUAGCAGGUAAGGACGAUGAGAACAGGCAGCGGAACAGGAGGGUGGGGGUUUGAGAGGGGGACCGAGGGCGAAAGUUCAGGACUUUUUUAAGGACUUCACACAUCCACGCAUAACCACAUAUUUGAAGGGCCAAUCCAGGCUCCCUACCAAAGGCGCACAGUGAAGGACAGUACAGUUUUAUUUUAGUAAUAAAUAUCUCAUUUUGUCUGUGAUAAUCGCACAUUUUAUUUCCUGUAUGCACUUUACAAAAUGCAUUCAUUUACAAAUGAUUUCUUCUUGUAUUUUAUCUGAUCUCCCUUAAAAUGUAAUAAUUGUAAAUGUAACAGUAUCAACUUUUCAUAUUGUUAAUAGAGAGGUUUCAAUAAAUAUCAAUAAAUAAUAUAUUCUGUGUUUGGUUGUUUAUCAAUUUAAUCUUUUAUUCCAUGUAAACAAACAGUGAAGGAAUCCUGGAGUUUCCCCUCAAAACAUUUUCAUUGUUUUCACUUGUGAGGUUUUCAUUCCCCUUGAUAUGUUGGAUAUUGGUUUUGUUGCCUUUGGCAACAAAGAGAGUGGUGUAUUAGACAAAUACUCAUACACUGUGUACGUGUGUGUGUGUGUAUGUGUGUGUGUCAAAGGAAAAGAGAAUACAAGGGUAAGAAAGGGAGGAAAAAGAGUGUGUGUAGAUGUGUUUUUGUUUGGUCUGUGUAUGUGUGAGAGAGUGAGAGAGAACUAGAGACAGUCUGUGUGUGUGUGUGUGUGUGUGUGUGUGUGUGUGUGUGUUCGGGGAGCAGUGCAGCCAGGCUGCAGAUAUCAUCCAUCUCCCUGUCACCAGCCCGAGGGCUGCUGGGAAAGUGGCAGACAGCUCCCCGACUCUGACAACAGAGGCUGCAUCCUAAUUUUCUGACACAGAAUGCUUGAAAAACCUGCACUGCUCCUCCCUCACCGCCCGGUACGGAAAACCAUUAACCCUGCGAUCCAGGAACAAAGCAUGGAGCUCAGCCUGGGACACCGCUGGCUGUGAGUCAUAUCGGCUCCCUUCCUCCAGCAGACUGUGAGCAGCAACACUUUGCAUGAACUCCACUUUAUAAAACAUUCAUGACGCUGCAUUAAAGCUUCACAUAUGGAGCCACACUAUGAAAUGAGUUCAUUUCUUAAGCCACAUCUAACUAGGAGGUCAAAUUACUGACUUGAUGACAUUUGAUUUUAAUUUCAAAAUAAAAGUCCUCCUGACAGUAGCUGCAAUAAGUGGAUUACAUGCUUUCUGGUUAGCCAUGACUAAUUGUAUUAUAAAGCUGUUGUCAGACAUUCUAUAGCUUUUGUUAUCAGUGCCAGCACUUUUAAUUUCCUAUCUCUCCGAGGGUCUCACUUUCCCUGGUCUUUGGUCCUUGGCAUCAUAUAAACACUGACAUGAGGAUUAAGUUAGUACUCAUUAAUGUGUGCAGCUGGUUUUUCCAAGUUUUUUCCCUCGUUUAAUUUUGUGAAUUUUACAGUUUCUCUAAUGAGGAAAAUUAAAAAGCCUUCAGAAAACAUCAAGGCUUGUAGUUCUCGUGUAGACAUGAAGUCACAAGUACACGCACGUCAGAUCACAAACUGAAGUUUAACUAACGACCGGUAAGUCUCAUAGUUUUCAUGAGCGCUAAGAUGAGAAACAGUGUACAUAUAUGAAUACAGAUAAAUAAAACAGCAAAGUAUCCUCCAUGUAAAACCUGAUAUUUGGUGUGAAGUGACAUGUAAACUGUACAAUAGAUUAAUCUAUUUUUUUUUUCAAUCGUGGAAAUUUAAAUAGAAACAAUUGACAUAUAAACACACUUAAAAUGUUGUUAGAUAUCAAUGUGAAUGGAUAUAUUUAUGACGAGUAAAGCUUUUUAUACAAAUUUCAGCUUAUUGAUCUUAAAAUCAUUAGAAUAUCACAUUCCACUGCUAAAAACUGAGCUGACAACCAAGUGAAGCUGUUAUUCUAGAGAUAUUUCUGGCAGACAGUUGCAUAUGAAUGCUGUUCCCAAACCAUGCAGUACCAAUAUUUGUUUUUUAUAAACAAUGGAAUUGUUGGAAACUGUCAUGAAUCAAAAAUUGAAUGAUUUCCCCCUUUGAAAAUGUGAAAUAAAACAAUGACUAACAAAGAA